rnacentral:lncRNA from 1 species
CCGCAUUUUUUGCCGAUCAGCACACAUUGGAAUUUCGCUAACUCCUCCGAAGGCUUUCAUUCCACCGGUACCACAUUUGCUCAGGCCAAUCUACACCCCAUGGCCAUUAAAAGUUAUUCAAAUCAUGACGCUGCAUCCCACGGUUUAGGUUCUAGGGGGCGCCAAAGAUAACCCUAAAAUCCACAUAUUUAAAAGUCUUAUAACUUUUUAUUUUUGUCCUCACUGGCCUCCAAGUUUUCUAGGAUGAUGCAAUGUCCAGCCAUCAACACAUUUGUGAAGGAAUUUUUACUGCCCAAAAGAGCGCCCCCCCAUGGCAGGAAAAAAAAGCCAAUUUUUUCUUGUCCCCUAAGGUGGAAAUUCACACUAUUGACUGUCACGCCUGUACGCUUUAUCAUAUUCACACAAAAAUUGACACACAUAUGUAUCUCAAUAAGAUCUACAAAAGAGUCGAUUCGCGCGUAUCUGUCAAAUGUACGGUUAAAGGGCUAUUUUGCAUUUUUUGCCGAUUCGCACACAUUGGAAUGUGGCUAACUCCUCCUAAGGCUUUCGUCCCACUGACACCAAAUUUGCUCAGGCCAAUCUACACCCCAUGGCCAUUCAAAGUUGUAAAAAUCAUGACGCUGCACCCCACGGUUUACGUUCUAGGGGGCGCCAAAGAUGACCCAAAAAUCCACAUUCUUCAAAGAAUCCACAUCCCCCCCCCCCAUAUGGCAGGAGAAAAAGUUAAGUUUUUCCUGCCCAUCGCUCAAUGGCUCAAUCGCAUCGCUCUCCAGGCAACACCGUAAGGAGGAGCAACCUGCCAUUUCGAUAUAUCAUAGCUGUGUUUGUGCCCUCACUCAUGGUCCAGACUUUUUUCAAAUAGGACAUGAAGUUUGUCUGCAGCGAGUGUUUUGGUAGAAACUGCGCCUCCCAUUCAUUAUAAUAGGAAAUGACCACAGACAAGUGCGCACACCAUCUUUGGAUCUUGAGUGUGACGCGAUCGGGAGGGGGAGGCGGUCGCACUGGGGGCGGCGCGACACGGCUCGGGCCCGACAGUGCCCCAACGGGGUCCUAGUUCUUUCUUUCUUUCUUUCUUUCUUCUUUUUCCUCCCCUUUGAACUGGAAAAUGGCCCACUUCCCACUGGCGAAAACUCAUGAAAUUUGGCAGGACGACCGGGCCUGGUGAAAAAUUCGAUAUUCUGAAGUCGCCCAAACAAUAAAAUGCAAAAUGGCUCCAUAGCGCCCCCUAAGGUGGAAAUUCACACUAUUGACUGUCACGCCUGUACGCUUUGUCAUAUUGACACAAAAAUUGACACACAUAUGUAUCUCAAUAAGAUCUACAAAAAAGUCAGUGCGGCCGUAUCUGUCAAAUGUACGGUUAAAGGGUUAUUUCGCAUUUUUUUCCAAUCCGCACACAUUGGAAUUUCGCUAACUCCUCCGAAGGCUUUCGUUCCACCGGCACCACAUUUGCUCAGGCCAAUCUACACCCCGUGGCCAUUAAAAGUUAUCAAAAUCAUGACGCUGCACCCCAAGGUUUAGGUUCUAGGGGGCGCCAAAGAUAACCUUAAAAUCCACAUAUUUAAAAGUCUUAUAACUUUUUAUUUUUGCCCUCACUGGCCUCCAAGUUUUCUAGGAUGAUGCAAUGUCCAGCCAUCAACACAUUUGUGAAGGAAUUUUUACUCCCCAAAAGAGCGCCCCCCCAUGGCAGGAGAAAAAAGUCCAUUUUUUCUUGUCCCCUAAGGUGAAAAUACACAUUGUUGAGUGUCACGCCUGUACGCUUUGUCAAAAUGACACAAAAAUUGACACACACAUGUAUCUCAAUAAGAUCUACAAAAAAGUCCAUGAGCGCGUAUCUGUCAAAUGUACGGUUAAAGGGUUAUUCCGCAUUUUUUGCCGAUUCGCACACAUUGGAAUUUCGCUAACUCCUCCGAAGGCUUUCGUUCCACCGGCACCACAUUUGCUCAGGCCAAAUUACACCCCAUGGCCAUUAAAAGUUAUUCAAAUCAUGACGCUGCACCCCACGGUUUACGUUCUAGGGGGCGCCAAAGAUAACCCAAAAAUCCACAUUUUUAAAAGUCUUAUAACUUUUUAUUUUUGUCCUCACUGGCCUCCAAGUUUUCUAGGAUGAUGCAAUGUCCAGCCAUCAACACAUUUGUGAAGGAAUUUUUACUCCCUAAAAGAGCGCCCCCCAUGGCAGGAGAAAAAAGUCCAUUUUUUCUUGUCCCCUAAGGUGAAAAUACACAUUGUUGACUGUCACGCCUGUACGCUUUGGCAAAAUGACACAAAAAUUGACAAUCAUGUGUAUCUCAAUUAGAUCUACGAAAAAGUCAAAGAGCGCGUAUCUGUAUAAUGUACGGUAAAAGGACUAUUUUGCAUUUUUUGCCGAUUCGCACACAUUGGAAUUUCGCUAACUCCUCCUAAGGCUUUCGUCCCACUGACACCAAAUUUGCUCAGGCCAAUCUACACUCCAUGGCCAUUCAAAGUUGUAAAAAUCAUGACGCUGCACCCCACGGUUUACGUUUUAGGGUGCGCCAAAGAUGACCCAAAUAUACAUUACAGUAGACAAAGUAGUUUUGCCCACUGAGUGGCGCCAAAGGGACUUGUCUGUGGAGUCUGUGAGUCACUAUUGGCCGUUUUUGACUACUUUAGAUUUUACCUUUAUAUUUCCUCUUACAAAAUUUUUACCUUGCCUUGCCUGGUAUCAUUUUUUUCAGCACAACCUCACCUGUGUCAAUUUACAGUUAUUUUAUCAUUUUGACAUACUAUAUUUACACAUUGGACCCAAAUUCACACACAAAACAUAAAAUCCGAGUGGAAAAAAGUAACGUUUUUACUGUGAAAACCACAAAUAUGUGUGAUGAACUGUUUUUAAAACUUAAACUUCAAAUAAAAAUUGUAAACUUCAAAACAUAUGCAAAUUUUUAACAAAGAACAUAGUAAUUUACCUCUAUUUACAUCAAAAUGCAGGCAAUGGCCCAGGUGUUCUUUGUAAAAUUAUUUACAAAACACUGUAUAGUCUCACAAAUGUCACUUUUUAUUUAUGCCACUACAAAAAAACAUGAUGUUAAUGAUGCAUGAUGUAAAACAUGAUGUAAAAAACUUGUGUAGAUCCUCCUCUAUGUUAGUCCAUGUGUAAUUUUUCCAUAAUUCUUUGUUUUUUGCAGCAUUUUUGUUAGUGUAACUGCAGAUUGUGCUGACAGUGUCUAUGGCAAAAAAAAAAAAAAAAAUUAAAAUGCCUCAACAUGAACCCCUGGUGGUCUCUGAGGGUGAAACCUGCUAACUGCUGCAGCUCUGUCAGCUUCAGUCUCCCAUGCAGAGCUCGGAGCGCAUGUGUGGCUCUGCACCCUUAGCAGCGUUGCUAACUCCUCAGUAAGGAAAGCCUGCUUCAUGUCAGAGUCUCUAAACUCCAGAAGAAGUCGAUAAAAGUCACUUUCUUUCUAAAAAAAAAGUCAUUAGGGGGUCUGAAAAGUCAUUGAAUCUAACAACAAAGUCGCUAGGUUUGCAACUACGUGUCCCAGACUGCAUCCCUGCUGAGAGUCCCUCCCUCCCUCCCUUCUCAUAUUGCAGGAAGAACGUAAGCGCCCGCCCCUUGUCAAUCAGUCACCAUAUAAUUUUGGAUUGGUUGUUGUGGUGAAGUUUUCCACCAAUAGGAGAGAUGUUGUGGUGUGUUUUUUUUUUCCUUUGGCAAGCCUUUUCCGCCUGUAAGACCUGUCGCUAAUGUCUGCAUGCUAUGUUUUCCUGUCUCAUACAGCGCGAUCAGCGCAGAACGUGAUCAAAAUAAGCAGAAAAAAAGUAUCACGGACAUAAUUUAUCAUAACUCUGGUUUUAUUUGGCCUAUCAACACAAUUUAAAAACUGGUAUAUAGGUUGAGGUCCUCACUUUUGAGAUAAGUUGAAACGGAGAGUCAACGAGGCUCCGUCUUGCAGCUACAUCCGUUUAAAUAUGUCAUGUGACUUGAACGCACACACACACACACACACACACACAGACACACACACACAAGCACACACACACACUCAGAGUCUGGUUUUUAGCACCUGCAAAAACAUGCUAUUUACAUAUUUGACAAGAAUGCAGAGGCUCCUUUUGCCCCUGAAAAAAAUCAAAUUUCAAACACAACUUGACUGGUCAUUUCUCCAAAAGACAACCAUGAAGCUCCAUCCAAACCUGAAGCAGGCAGUUGGUGCAUGUGUACAGUAACCUGAGGGGAGUGAGGUGACUGCUUCUGAGGAGAACAUGAGCAGUGAAGAUUCACCUUAGAGCUAGAACAGAGACGUGCACAUGAUUAUACAGGGGCAGGGGCUCAAGUUUUUUCCAGUUGUUUAUACAAUAUGGAAAUUAAUGUGAAAUUAAAAAACAAAGUAUUAAUAGAAAGGUAAUGACUGUCCUGUGUAGGUGACAGUGAUAUCGAAUAGGCUAGGCACUCACGAGGCUGGCUGUGGCAAGUGUAAGUGAAAGCAACACGCACUGGCAGGAAGAACAGCAAACGCCGAUGAAGGAAAAGGGUCUUUGCAGUGAUGGGCGUUACCAGAGAGGGCGAUGGCCAGAGGGGGGGGGGGGGGGGCGCGACACAGCGCGGGCCCGCCAGUGCCCCAACGGGGUCCUAGUCUUAUUAUUUUUCUGCCCCUUUGAACUGGAAAAUGGCCCACUUCCCACUGGUGAAAAGUCAUGAAAUUUGGCAGGACGACCGGGCCUGGUGAAAAAUUCGAUAUUCUGAAGUCGCCCAAAAAAUCAAAUGCAAAAUGGCUCCAUAGCGCCCCCUAAGGUGAAAAAUUCACAUGAUUGAGUGUCACGCCUGUACGCUUUGUCAAAAUGACACAAAAUUUGACACACACGUGUAUCUCAAUAAGAUCUACAAAAAAGUCAGUGCGGGCGUAUCUGUCAAAUGUACGGUUAAAGGGCUAUUUCGCAUUUUUUGCCGAUCCGCACACAUUGGAAUUUCGCUAACUCCUCCGAAGGCUUUCGUUCCACCGGCACCAAAUUUGCUCAGGCCAAUCUACACCCCAUGGCCAUUAAAAGUUGUACAAAUCAUGACGCUGCAUCCCACGGUUUACGUUCUAGGGGGCGCCAAAGAUAACCCAGAAAUCCACAUUCUUAAAAGUCGUAUAACUUUUUAUUUUUGUCCUCACUGGCCUCCAAGUUUUCUAGGAUGAUGCAAUGUCCAGCCAUCAACACAUUUGUGAAGGAAUUUUUACUCCCCAAAAGAGCGCCCCCCCAUGGCAGGAGAAAAAAGUCCAUUUUUUCUUGUCUCCUAAGGCGAAAAUUCACACUAUUGACUGUCACGCCUUUACGCUUUGUCAUAUUGACACAAAAAUUGACACACACAUGUAUCUCAAUAAGAUCUACAAAAAAGUCAGUGCGGGCGUAUCUGUCAAAUGUACGGUGAAAGGGCUAUUUCGCAUUUUUUGCCGAUCCGCACACAUUGGAAUUUCGCUAACUCCUCCGAAGGCUUUCGUUCCAAAGGCACCACAUUUGCUGAGGCCAAUCUACACCCCAUGGCCAUUAAAAGUUGUACAAAUCAUGACACUGCACCCCACGGUUUACGUUCUAGGGGGCGCCAAAGAUAACCCAAAAAUCCACAGUCUUAAAAGUCUUAUAACUUUUUAUUUUUGUCCUCACUGGCCUCCAAGUUCUCUAGGAUGAUGCAAUGUCCAGCCAUCAACACAUUUGUGAAGGAAUUUUUACUCGCCAAAAGAGCGCCCCCCCCAUGGCAGGAGAAAAAAGUCCAUUUUUUCUUGUCUCCUAAGGCGAAAAUACACAUUGUUGACUGUCACGCCUUUACGCUUUGUCAAAAUGACACAAAAUUUGACACACACAUGUAUAUCAAUAAGAUCUACAAAAAAGUCAGUGCGGAAGUAUCUGUCAAAUGUACGGUUAAAGGGUUAUUUCGCAUUUUUUGCCGAUCCGCACACAUUGGAAUUUCGCUAACUCCUCCUAAAUCUUUUGUCCCAUCGGCUUCAAAUUUGCUCAGGUCAAUCUACACCCCAUGGCCAUUCAAAAUUGUACAAAUCAUGACGCUGCACCCCACAGUUUACGUUCUAGGGGGCGCCAAAGAGGACCCAAAUAUCCACAUUUUUAAAAGUCUUAUAACUUUUUAUUUUUGUCCUCACUGGCCUCCAAGUUUUCUAGGAUGAUGCAAUGUCCAGCCAUCAACACAUUUGUGAAGGAAUUUUUACUCCCCAAAAGAGCGCCCCCACAUGGCAGGAGAAAAAAGUCCAUUUUUUCUUGUCCCCUAAGGUGAAAAUACACAUUGUUGAGUGUCACGCCUAUACGCUUUGUCAUAUUGACACAAAAUUUGACAAUCACGUGUAUCUCAAUAAGAUCUACGAAAAAGUCAAUGGGCACGUAUCUGUAAAAUGUACGGUUAAAGGGUUAUUUCGCAUUUUUUCCCGAUCCGCACACAUUGGAAUUUCACUAACUCCUCCGAAGGCUUUAGUUCCACCGCCACCAAAUUUGCUCAGGCCAAUCUACACCCCAUGGCCAUUAAAAGUUGUACAAAUCAUGACGUUGCACUCCACGGUUUAGGUUCUAGGGGGCGCCAAAGAUAACCCAAAAAUCCACAUUCUUAAUAGUCUUAUAACUUUUUAUUUUUGUCCUCACUGGCCUCCAAGUUUUCUAGGAUGAUGCAAUGUCCAGCCAUCAACACAUUUGUAAAGGAAUUUUUACUCCCGAAAAGAGCGCCCCCCCAUGGCAGGAGAAAAAAGUCCAUUUUUUCUUGUCCCCUAAGGUGAAAAAACACAUUGUUGACUGUCACGCCUAUACGCUUUGUCAAAAUGACACAAAAUUUGACACACACGUGUAUCUCAAUAAGAUCUACGAAAAAGUCAAUGGGCACGUAUCUGUAAAAUGUACGGUUAAAGGGCUAUUUCGCAUUUUUUGCAGAUCUGCACACAUUGGAAUGUGGCUAACUCCUCCUAAGGCUUUCUUCCCACCGACACCAAAUUUGCUCAAGCCGAUCUACAUCCCAUGGCCAUUCAAAGUUGUAAAAAUCAUGCCGCUGCACCCCAUGGUUUACGUUCUAGGGGGCGCCAAAGAUGACCCAAAUAUCCACAUUCUUAAAAGAAUCCACAUCCCCCCCCCCCCCCCCAAGGCAGGAGAAAAAGUCCAGUUAACCCUGCCCAUCGCUCAAUGGCUCAAUCGCAUCGCUCUCCUGGCAACACCGUAAGGAGGAGCAACUUGCCAUUUGGAUAUAUCCUAGCUGUGUUUGUGCCCUCACUCAUGGUCCAGACUUUUUUCAAAUAGGACAUGUAGUUUGUCUGCAGCGACCGUUUUGGUAGAAACUGCGCCUCCCAUUCAUUAUAAUGGGAAAUGACCACAGACAAGUGCGCACACCAUCUUUGGACCUUGAGUGUGAUGCGAUCGGGAGGGGGAGGCGGUCGCGCUGGGGGCGGCGCGACGCAGCUCGGGCCCGACAGUGCCCCACCGGGGCCCUAGUUAUUUUUCCUCCCCUUUGAACUGGAAAAUGGCCCACUUCCCACUGGCGAAAACUCAUGAAAUUUGGCAGGACGACCGGGCCUGGUGAAAAAUUUGAUAUUCUGAAGUCGCCCAAACAAUAAAAUGCAAAAUGGCUCCAUAGCGCCCCCUAAGGUGAAAAUUCACACUAUUGACUGUCACGCCUGUACGCUUUGUCAUAUUGACACAAAAUUUGACACACACAUGUAUCUCAAUAAGAUCUACAAAAAAGUCAGUGCGGGCGUAUCUGUAAAAUGUACGGAUAAAGGGUUAUUUCGCAUUUUUUGCCGAUCCGCACACAUUGGAAUUUCGCUAACUCCUCCGAAGGCUUUCGUUCCACCGGCACCACAUUUGCUCAGGCCAAUCUACACCCCAUGGCCAUUAAAAGUUAUUCAAAUCAUGACGCUGCACCCCACGGUUUAGGUUCUAGGGGGCGCCAAAGAUAACCCAGAAAUCCACAUUCUUAAAAGUCGUAUAACUUUUUAUUUUUGUCCUCACUGGCCUCCAAGUUUUCUAGGAUGAUGCAAUGUCCAGCCAUCAACACAUUUGUGAAGGAAUUUUUACUCCCCAAAAGAGCGCCCCCCCAUGGCAGGAGAAAAAAGUCCAUUUUUUCUUGUCUCCUAAGGCGAAAAUUCACACUAUUGACUGUCACGCCUUUACGCUUUGUCAUAUUGACACAAAAAUUGACACACACAUGUAUCUCAAUAAGAUCUACAAAAAAGUCAGUGCGGGCGUAUCUGUCAAAUGUACGGUGAAAGGGCUAUUUCGCAUUUUUUGCCGAUCCGCACACAUUGGAAUUUCGCUAACUCCUCCGAAGGCUUUCGUUCCAAAGGCACCACAUUUGCUGAGGCCAAUCUACACCCCAUGGCCAUUAAAAGUUGUACAAAUCAUGACACUGCACCCCACGGUUUACGUUCUAGGGGGCGCCAAAGAUAACCCAAAAAUCCACAGUCUUAAAAGUCUUAUAACUUUUUAUUUUUGUCCUCACUGGCCUCCAAGUUCUCUAGGAUGAUGCAAUGUCCAGCCAUCAACACAUUUGUGAAGGAAUUUUUACUCGCCAAAAGAGCGCCCCCCCCAUGGCAGGAGAAAAAAGUCCAUUUUUUCUUGUCUCCUAAGGCGAAAAUACACAUUGUUGACUGUCACGCCUUUACGCUUUGUCAAAAUGACACAAAAUUUGACACACACAUGUAUCUAAAUAAGAUCUACAAAAAAGUCAGUGCGGAAGUAUCUGUCAAAUGUACGGUUAAAGGGUUAUUUCGCAUUUUUUGCCGAUCCGCACACAUUGGAAUUUCGCUAACUCCUCCUAAAUCUUUUGUCCCAUCGGCUUCAAAUUUGCUCAGGUCAAUCUACACCCCAUGGCCAUUCAAAAUUGUACAAAUCAUGACGCUGCACCCCACAGUUUACGUUCUAGGGGGCGCCAAAGAGGACCCAAAUAUCCACAUUUUUAAAAGUCUUAUAACUUUUUAUUUUUGUCCUCACUGGCCUCCAAGUUUUCUAGGAUGAUGCAAUGUCCAGCCAUCAACACAUUUGUGAAGGAAUUUUUACUCCCCAAAAGAGCGCCCCCACAUGGCAGGAGAAAAAAGUCCAUUUUUUCUUGUCCCCUAAGGUGAAAAUACACAUUGUUGAGUGUCACGCCUAUACGCUUUGUCAUAUUGACACAAAAUUUGACAAUCACGUGUAUCUCAAUAAGAUCUACGAAAAAGUCAAUGGGCACGUAUCUGUAAAAUGUACGGUUAAAGGGUUAUUUCGCAUUUUUUCCCGAUCCGCACACAUUGGAAUUUCACUAACUCCUCCGAAGGCUUUAGUUCCACCGCCACCAAAUUUGCUCAGGCCAAUCUACACCCCAUGGCCAUUAAAAGUUGUACAAAUCAUGACGUUGCACUCCACGGUUUAGGUUCUAGGGGGCGCCAAAGAUAACCCAAAAAUCCACAUUCUUAAUAGUCUUAUAACUUUUUAUUUUUGUCCUCACUGGCCUCCAAGUUUUCUAGGAUGAUGCAAUGUCCAGCCAUCAACACAUUUGUAAAGGAAUUUUUACUCCCGAAAAGAGCGCCCCCCCAUGGCAGGAGAAAAAAAGUCCAUUUUUUCUUGUCCCCUAAGGUGAAAAAACACAUUGUUGACUGUCACGCCUAUACGCUUUGUCAAAAUGACACAAAAUUUGACACACACGUGUAUCUCAAUAAGAUCUACGAAAAAGUCAAUGGGCACGUAUCUGUAAAAUGUACGGUUAAAGGGCUAUUUCGCAUUUUUUGCAGAUCUGCACACAUUGGAAUGUGGCUAACUCCUCCUAAGGCUUUCUUCCCACCGACACCAAAUUUGCUCAAGCCGAUCUACAUCCCAUGGCCAUUCAAAGUUGUAAAAAUCAUGCCGCUGCACCCCAUGGUUUACGUUCUAGGGGGCGCCAAAGAUGACCCAAAUAUCCACAUUCUUAAAAGAAUCCACAUCCCCCCCCCCCCCAAGGCAGGAGAAAAAGUCCAGUUAACCCUGCCCAUCGCUCAAAGGCUCAAUCGCAUCGCACGCCAGGCAACACCGUAAGGAGGAGCAACUUGCCAUUUGGAUAUAUCCUAGCUGUGUUUGUGCCCUCACUCAUGGUCCAGACUUUUUUCAAAUAGGACAUGUAGUUUGUCUGCAGCGACCGUUUUGGUAGAAACUGCGCCUCCCAUUCAUUAUAAUGGGAAAUGACCACAGACAAGUGCGCACACCAUCUUUGGACCUUGAGUGUGAUGCGAUCGGGAGGGGGAGGCGGUCGCGCUGGGGGCGGCGCGACGCAGCUCGGGCCCGACAGUGCCCCACCGGGGCCCUAGUUAUUUUUCCUCCCCUUUGAACUGGAAAAUGGCCCACUUCCCACUGGCGAAAACUCAUGAAAUUUGGCAGGACGACCGGGCCUGGUGAAAAAUUUGAUAUUCUGAAGUCGCCCAAACAAUAAAAUGCAAAAUGGCUCCAUAGCGCCCCCUAAGGUGAAAAUUCACACUAUUGACUGUCACGCCUGUACGCUUUGUCAUAUUGACACAAAAUUUGACACACACAUGUAUCUCAAUAAGAUCUACAAAAAAGUCAGUGCGGGCGUAUCUGUAAAAUGUACGGAUAAAGGGUUAUUUCGCAUUUUUUGCCGAUCCGCACACAUUGGAAUUUCGCUAACUCCUCCGAAGGCUUUCGUUCCACCGGCACCACAUUUGCUCAGGCCAAUCUACACCCCAUGGCCAUUAAAAGUUAUUCAAAUCAUGACGCUGCACCCCACGGUUUACGUUCUAGGGGGCGCCAAAGAUAACCCUAAAAUCCACAUAUUUAAAAGUCUUAUAACUUUUUAUUUUUGCCCUCACUGGCCUCCAAGUUUUCUAGGAUGAUGCAAUGUCCAGCCAUCAACACAUUUGUGAAGGAAUUUUUACUCCCCAAAAGAGCGCCCCCCCAUGGCAGGAGAAAAAAGUCCAUUUUUUCUUGUCCCCUAAGGUGAAAAUACACAUUGUUGAGUGUCACGCCUGUACGCUUUGUCAAAAUGACACAAAAAUUGACACACACAUGUAUCUCAAUAAGAUCUACGAAAAAGUCAAUGCGCGCGUAUCUGUCAAAUGUACGGUUAAAGGGUUAUUUCGCAUUUUUUGCCGAUUCGCACACAUUGGAAUUUCGCUAACUCCUCCGAAGGCUUUCGUUCCACCGGCACCACAUUUGCUCAGGCCAAAUUACACCCCAUGGCCAUUAAAAGUUAUUCAAAUCAUGACGCUGCACCCCACGGUUUAGGUUCUAGGGGGCGCCAAAGAUAACCCAAAAAUCCACAUAUUUAAAAGUCUUAUAACUUUUUAUUUUUGCCCUCACUGGCCUCCAAGUUUUCUAGGAUGAUGCAAUGUCCAGCCAUCAACACAUUUGUGAAGGAAUUUUUAAUCCCCAAAAGAGCGCCCCCCCAUGGCAGGAGAAAAAAGUCCAUUUUUUCUUGUCCCAUAAGAUGAAAAAACACAUUGUUGACUGUCAUACCUGUACGCUUUGUCAUAUUGACACAAAAUUUGACAAUCACAUGUAUCUCAAUAAGAUCUACGAAAAAGUCAAUGCGCGCGUAUCUGUAAAAUGUACGGUUAAAGGGCUAUUUUGCAUUUUUUGCCGAUUCGCACACAUUCGAAUGUGGCUAACUCCUCCUAAGGCUUUCGUCCCACUGACACCAAAUUUGCUCAGGCCAAUCUACACCCCAUGGCCAUUCAAAGUUUUAAAAAUCAUGACGCUGCACCCCACGGUUUAUGUUCUAGGGGGCGCCAAAGAUUACCCAAAUAUCCACAUUCUUAAAAGAAUCCACAUCCCCCAUCCCCCAACCCCCAUGGCAGGAGAAACAGUCAAGUUUUUCCUGCCCAUCACUCAAUGGCUCAAUCGCAUCACUCUCCCGGCAACACCGUAACGAGGAGCAACUUGCCGUUUGGAUAUAUCCUAGCUGUGUUUGUGCCCUCACUCAUGGUCCAGACUUUUUUCAAAUAGGACAUGUAGUUUGUCUGCAGCGAGUGUUUUGGUAGAAACUGCGCCUCCCAUUCAUUAUAAUGGGAAAUGACCACAGACAAGUGCGCACACCAUCUUUGGACCUUGAGUGUGACGCGAUCGGGAGGGGGAGGCGGUCGCGCUGGGGGCGGCGCAACGCGGCUCGGGCCCGACAGUGCCCCACCGGGGCCCUAGUUAUUUUUCCUCCCCUUUGAACUGGAAAAUGGCCCACUUCCCACUGGCGAAAACUCAUGAAAUUUGGCAGGACGACCGGGCCUGGUGAAAAAUUUGAUAUUCCGAAGUCGCCCAAACAAGAAAAUGCAAAAUGGCUCCAUAGCGCCCCCUAAGGUGAAAAAUUCACCUGACGCCUGUACGCUUUGUCAAAAUGACACAAAAAUUGACACACACAUGUAUCUCAAUAAGAUCUACAAAAAAGUCAGUGCGGGCGUAUCUGUCAAAUGUACGGUUAAAGGGUUAUUUCGCAUUUUUUGCCGAUCCGCACACAUUGGAAUUUCGCUAACUCCUCCGAAGGCUUUCGUUCCACCGGCACCACAUUUGCUCAGGCCAAUCUACACCCCAUGGCCAUUAAAAGUUAUUCAAAUCAUGACGCUGCACCCCACGGUUUAGGUUCUAGGGGGCGCCAAAGAUAGCACUAAAAUCCACAUAUUUCAAAGUCUUAUAACUUUUUAUUUUUGUCCUCACUGGCCUCCAAGUUUUCUAGGAUGAUGCAAUGUCCAGCCAUCAACACAUUUGUGAAGGAAUUUUUACUCCCCAAAAGAGCGCCCCCCCAUGGCAGGAGAAAAAAGUCCAUUUUUUCUUGUCCCCUAAGGUGAAAAUACACAUUGUUGAGUGUCACGCCUGUACGCUUUGUCAAAAUGACACAAAAAUUGACACACACAUGUAUCUCAAUAAGAUCUACAAAAGAGUCAAUGGGCGCGUAUCUGUCAAAUGUACGGUUAAAGGGUUAUUCCGCAUUUUUUGCCGAUUCGCACACAUUGGAAUUUCGCUAACUCCUCCGAAGGCUUUCGUUCCACCGGCACCACAUUUGCUCAGGCCAAAUUACACCCCAUGGCCAUUAAAAGUUAUUCAAAUCAUGACGCUGCACCCCACGGUUUACGUUCUAGGGGGCGCCAAAGAUAACCCAAAAAUCCACAUUUUUAAAAGUCUUUUAACUUUUUAUUUUUGUCCUCACUGGCCUCCAAGUUUUCUAGGAUGAUGCAAUGUCCAGCCAUCAACACAUUUGUGAAGGAAUUUUUACUCCCUAAAAGAGCGCCCCCCCCAUGGCAGGAGAAAAAAGUCCAUUUUUUCUUGUCCCCUAAGGUGAAAAUACACAUUGUUGACUGUCACGCCUGUACGCUUUGGCAAAAUGACACAAAAAUUGACAAUCAUGUGUAUCUCAAUUAGAUCUACGAAAAAGUCAAGAGCGCGUAUCUGUAUAAUGUACGGUAAAAGGGCUAUUUUGCAUUUUUUGCCGAUUCGCACAUAUUGGAAUUUCGCUAACUCCUCCUAAGGCUUUCGUCCCACUGACACCAAAUUUGCUCAGGCCAAUCUACACUCCAUGGCCAUUCAAAGUUGUAAAAAUCAUGACGCGGCACCCCACGGUUUACGUUUUAGGGGGCGCCAAAGAUGACCCAAAUAUACAUUACAGUAGACAAAGUAGUUUUGCCCACUGAGUGGCGCCAAAGGGACUUGUCUGUGGAGUCUGUGAGUCACUAUUGGCCGUUUUUGACUACUUUAGAUUUUACCUUUAUAUUUCCUCUUACAAAAUUUUUACCUUGCCUUGCCUGGUAUCAUUUUUUUCAGCACAACCUCACCUGUGUCAAUUUACAGUUAUUUUAUCAUUUUGACAUACUAUAUUUACACAUUGGACCCAAAUUCACACACAAAACAUAAAAUCCGAGUGGAAAAAAGUAACGUUUUUACUGUGAAAACCACAAAUAUGUGUGAUGAACUGUUUUUAAAACUUAAACUUCAAAUAAAAAUUGUAAACUUCAAAACAUAUGCAAAUUUUUAACAAAGAACAUAGUAAUUUACCUCUAUUUACAUCAAAAUGCAGGCAAUGGCCCAGGUGUUCUUUUUAAAAUUAUUUACAAAACACUGUAUAGUCUCACAAAUGUCACUUUUUAUUUAUGCCACUACAAAAAAACAUGAUGUAAAUGAUGCAUGAUGUAAAACAUGAUGUAAAAAACUUGUGUAGAUCCUCCUCUAUGUCAGUCCAUGUGUAAUUUUUCCAUAAUUCUUUGUUUUUUGCAGCAUUUUUGUUAGUGUAACUGCAGAUUGUGCUGACAGUGUCUAUGGCAAAAAAAAAAAAAAAACUGAAAAUGCCUCAACAUGAACCCCUGGUGGUCUCUGAGGGUGAAACCUGCUAACUGCUGCAGCUCUGUCAGCUUCAGUCUCCCAUGCAGAGCUCAGAGCGCAUGUGUGGCUCUGCACCCUUAGCAGCGUUGCUAACUCCUCAGUAAGGAAAGCCUGCUUCAUGUCAGAGUCUCUAAACUCCAGAAGAAGUCGAUAAAAGUCACUUUCUUUCUAAAAAAACGUUGUUAGGGGGUCUGAAAAGUCAUUGAAUCUAACAACAAAGUCGCUAGGUUUGCAACUACGUGUCCCAGACUGCAUCCCUGCUGAGAGUCCCUCCCUCCCUUCUCAUAUUGCAGGAAGAACGUAAGCGCCCGCCCCUUGUCAAUCAGUCACCAUAUAAUUUUGGAUUGGUUGUUGUGGUGAAGUUUUCCACCAAUAGGAGAGAUGUCGUGGUGUGUUUUUUUUCCUUUGGCAAGCCUUUUCCGCCUGUAAGACCUGUCGCUAAUGUCUGCAUGCUAUGUUUUCCUGUCUCAUACAGCGCGAUCGAGCGCCGAACGUGAUCAAAAUAAGCAGAAAACAAGUAUCGCGGACAUAAUUUAUCAUAACUCUGGUUUUAUUUGGCCUAUCAACACAAUUUAAAAACUGGUAUAUAGGUUGAGGUCCUCACUUUUGAGAUAAGUUGAAACGGAGAGUCAACGAGGCUCCGUCUUGCAGCUACAUCCGGUUAAAUAUGUCAUGUGACUUGAACGCACACACACACACACACACACACACACACACACACACACACACACAGACACACACACACACGCACACACACACACUCAGAGUCUGGUUUUUAGCACCUGCAAAAACAUGCUAUUUACAUAUUUGACAAGAAUGCAGAGGCUCCUUUUGCCCCUGAAAAAAAUCAAAUUUCAAACACAACUUGACUGGUCAUUUCUCCAAAAGACAACCAUGAAGCUCCAUCCAAACCUGAAGCAGGCAGUUGGUGCAUGUGUACAGUAACCUGAGGGGAGUGAGGUGACUGCUUCUGAGGAGAACAUGAGCAGUGAAGAUUCACCUUAGAGCUAGAACAGAGACGUGCACAUGAUUAUACAGGGGCAGGGGCUCAAGUUUUUUCCAGUUGUUUAUACAAUAUGGAAAUUAAUGUGAAAUUAAAAAACAAAGUAUUAAUAGAAAGGUAAUGACUGUCCUGUGUAGGUGACAGUGAUAUCCAAUAGGCUAGGCACUCACGAGGCUGGCUGUGGCAAGUGUAAGUGAAAGCAACACGCACUGGCAGGAAGAACAGCAAACGCCGAUGAAGGAAAAGGGUCUUUGCAGUGAUGGGCGUUACCAGAGAGGGCGAUGGCCAGAGGACACAAAUGGGACGGGGAGGCAGCGCGUUGGGGGGGGGGGCGCGACACAGCUCGGGCCCGCCAGUGCCCCAACGGGGUCCUAGUUAGGGCCCGAGCGUAGCUGCUAAGCAGCUGCGAGAGCCCUCUUGUUCCUGUAGUUUCCUUCUUUUGUUAUUAGGGCCCGAGCGUAGCUGCUAAGCAGCUGCGAGAGCCCUAUUAUUCCCCAAGUGGUUUUUCUUUGUUUCUUUUUUCUUUUUCCUCCCCUUUGAACUGGAAAAUGGCCCACUUCCCACUGGCGAAAACUCAUGAAAUUUGGCAGGACGACCGGGCCUGGUGAAAAAUUUGAUAUUCCGAAGUCGCCCAAACAAUAAAAUGCAAAAUGGCUCCAUAGCGCCCCCUAAGGUGAAAAUUCACAUGACGGCUGUACGCUUUGUCAUAUUGACACAAAAAUUGACACACACAUGUAUCUCAAUAAGAUCUACAAAAAAGUCAGUGCAGGCGUAUCUGUCAAAUGUACGGUUAAUGGGUUAUUUUGCAUUUUUUGCAGAUCUGCACACAUUGGAAUUUCGCUAACUCCUCCGAAGGCUUUCGUUCCACCGGCACCACAUUUGCUCAGGCCAAUCUACACCCCAUGGCCAUUAAAAGUUAUUCAAAUCAUGACGCUGCACCCCACGGUUUAGGUUCUAGGGGGCGCCAAAGAUAACACUAAAAUCCACAUAUUCAAAAGUCUUAUAACUUUUUAUUUUUGCCCUCACUGGCCUCCAAGUUUUCUAGGAUGAUGCAAUGUCCAGCCAUCAACACAUUUGUGAAGGAAUUUUUACUCCCCAAAAGAGCGCCCCCCCAUGGCAGGAGAAAAAAUUCCAUUUUUUCUUGUCCCCUAAGGUGAAAAUACACAUUGUUGAGUGUCACGCCUGUACGCUUUGUCAAAAUGACACAAAAAUUGACACACACAUGUAUCUCAAUAAGAUCUACAAAAAAGUCCAUGCGCGCGUAUCUGUCAAAUGUACGGUUAAAGGGUUAUUCCGCAUUUUUUGCCGAUUCGCACACAUUGGAAUUUCGCUAACUCCUCCGAAGGCUUUCGUUCCACCGGCACCACAUUUGCUCAGGCCAAUCUACACCCCAUGGCCAUUAAAAGUUAUUCAAAUCAUGACGCUGCACCCCACGGUUUACGUUCUAGGGGGCGCCAAAGAUAACCCAAAAAUCCACAUUUUUAAAAGUCUUAUAACUUUUUAUUUUUGUCCUCACUGGCCUCCAAGUUUUCUAGGAUGAUGCAAUGUCCAGCCAUCAACACAUUUGUGAAGGAAUUUUUACUCCCUAAAAGAGCGCCCCCCAUGGCAGGAGAAAAAAUUCCAUUUUUUCUUGUCCCCUAAGGUGAAAAUACACAUUGUUGACUGUCACGCCUGUACGCUUUGGCAAAAUGACACAAAAAUUGACAAUCAUGUGUAUCUCAAUUAGAUCUACGAAAAAGUCAAAGAGCGCGUAUCUGUAUAAUGUACGGUAAAAGGGCUAUUUUGCAUUUUUUGCCGAUUCGCACACAUUGGAAUUUCGCUAACUCCUCCUAAGGCUUUCGUCCCACUGACACCAAAUUUGCUCAGGCCAAUCUACACUCCAUGGCCAUUCAAAGUUGUAAAAAUCAUGACGCUGCACCCCACGGUUUACGUUUUAGGGGGCGCCAAAGAUGACCCAAAUAUACAUUACAGUAGACAAAGUAGUUUUGCCCACUGAGUGGCGCCAAAGGGGACUGUCUGUGCUCUGUCUGUGGAGUCUGUGAGUCACUAUUGGCCGUUUUUGACUACUUUAGAUUUUACCUUUAUAUUUCCUCUUACAAAAUUUUUACCUUGCCUUGCCUGGUAUCAUUUUUUUCAGCACAACCUCACCUGUGUCAAUUUACAGUUAUUUUAUCAUUUUGACAUACUAUAUUUACACAUUGGACCCAAAUUCACACACAAAACAUAAAAUCCGAGUGGAAAAAAGUAACGUUUUUACUGUGAAAACCACAAAUAUGUGUGAUGAACUGUUUUUAAAACUUAAACUUCAAAUAAAAAUUGUAAACUUCAAAACAUAUGCAAAUUUUUAACAAAGAACAUAGUAAUUUACCUCUAUUUACAUCAAAAUGCAGGCAAUGGCCCAGGUGUUCUUUGUAAAAUUAUUUACAAAACACUGUAUAGUCUCACAAAUGUCACUUUUUAUUUAUGCCACUACAAAAAAACAUGAUGUAAAUGAUGCAUGAUGUAAAACAUGAUGUAAAAAACUUGUGUAGAUCCUCCUCUAUGUUAGUCCAUGUGUAAUUUUUCCAUAAUUCUUUGUUUUUUGCAGAAUUUUUGUUAGUGUAACUGCAGAUUGUGCUGACAGUGUCUAUGGCAAAAAAAAAAAAAUAAAAAAUGAAAAUGCCUCAACAUGAACCCCUGGUGGUCUCUGAGGGUGAAACCUGCUAACUGCUGCAGCUCUGUCAGCUUCAGUCUCCCAUGCAGAGCUCGGAGCGCAUGUGUGGCUCUGCACCCUUAGCAGCGUUGCUAACUCCUCAGUAAGGAAAGCCUGCUUCAUGUCAGAGUCUCUAAACUCCAGAAGAAGUCGAUAAAAGUCCCUUUCUUUCUAAAAAAAAGUCGUUAGGGGGUCUGAAAAGUCAUUGAAUCUAACAACAAAGUCGCUAGGUUUGCAACUACGUGUCCCAGACUGCAUCCCUGCUGAGAGUCCCUCCCUCCCUUCUCAUAUUGCAGGAAGAACGUAAGCGCCCGCCCCUUGUCAAUCAGUCACCAUAUAAUUUUGGAUUGGUUGUUGUGGUGAAGUUUUCCACCAAUAGGAGAGAUGUUGUGGUGUGUUUUUUUUUUCCUUUGGCAAGCCUUUUCCGCCUGUAAGACCUGUCGCUAAUGUCUGCAUGCUAUGUUUUCCUGUCUCAUACAGCGCGAUCGAGCGCCGAACGUGAUCAAAAUAAGCAGAAAAAAGUAUCGCAGACAUAAUUUAUCAUAACUCUGGUUUUAUUUGGCCUAUCAACACAAUUUAAAAACUGGUAUAUAGGUUGAGGUCCUCACUUUUGAGAUAAGUUGAAACGGAGAGUCAACGAGGCUCCGUCUUGCAGCUACAUCCGGUUAAAUAUGUCAUGUGACUUGAACGCACACACACACACACACACACACACACACACACACACACACACACACACACGCACACGCACACACACACACUCAGAGUCUGGUUUUUAGCACCUGCAAAAACAUGCUAUUUACAUAUUUGACAAGAAUGCAGAGGCUCCUUUUGCCCCUGAAAAAAAUCAAAUUUCAAACACAACUUGACUGGUCAUUUCUCCAAAAGACAACCAUGAAGCUCCAUCCAAACCUGAAGCAGGCAGUUGGUGCAUGUGUACAGUAACCUGAGGGGAGUGAGGUGACUGCUUCUGAGGAGAACAUGAGCAGUGAAGAUUCACCUUAGAGCUAGAACAGAGACGUGCACAUGAUUAUACAGGGGCAGGGGCUCAAGUUUUUUCCAGUUGUUUAUACAAUAUGGAAAUUAAUGUGAAAUUAAAAAACAAAGUAUUAAUAGAAAGGUAAUGAAUGUCCUGUGUAGGUGACAGUGAUAUCCAAUAGGCUAGGCACUCACGAGGCUGGCUGUGGCAAGUGUAAGUGAAAGCAACAUGCACUGGCAGGAAGAACAGCAAACGCCGAUGAAGGAAAAGGGUCUUUGCAGUGAUGGGCGUUACCAGAGAGGGCGAUGGCCAGAGGACGCGAAUAGGACGGGGAGGCAGCGCGUUGGGGGGGGGGACGCGACACAGCUCGGGCCCGCCAGUGCCCCAACGGGGUCCUAGUUAGGGCCCGAGCCAGCUGCAGAGCAGCCGGGCGUAGGCCCUAUUAUUCCCCAAGUGGUUUUUUAGGGCCCGAGCCAGCUGCAGAGCAGCCGGGCGUAGGCCCUAUUAUUCCCCAAGUGGUUUUUCUUUGUUUCUUUCUUUCUUUCUUUCUUUCUUUCUUUCUUUCUUCUUUUUCCUCCCCUUUGAACUGGAAAAUGGCCCACUUCCCACUGGCGAAAACUCAUGAAAUUUGGCAGGACGACCGGGCCUGGUGAAAAAUUCGAUAUUCUGAAGUCGCCCAAACAAUAAAAUGCAAAAUGGCUCCAUAGCGCCCCCUAAGGUGGAAAUUCACACUAUUGACUGUCACGCCUGUACGCUUUGUCAUAUUGACACAAAAAUUGACACACAUAUGUAUCUCAAUAAGAUCUACAAAAAAGUCAGUGCGGGCGUAUCUGUCAAAUGUACGGUUAAAGGGUUAUUCCGCAUUUUUUGCCGAUCCGCACACAUUGGAAUUUCGCUAACUCCUCCGAAGGCUUUUGUUCCACCGGCACCACAUUUGCUCAGGCCAAUCUACACCCCAUGGCCAUUAAAAGUUAUUCAAAUCAUGACGCUGCACCCCACGGUUUAGGUUCUAGGGGGCGCCAAAAAUAACCCUAAAAUCCACAUAUUUAAAAGUCUUAUAACUUUUUAUUUUUGUCCUCACUGGCCUCCAAGUUUUCUAGGAUGAUGCAAUGUCCAGCCAUCAACACAUCUGUGAAGGAAUUUUUACUCGCCAAAAGAGCGCCCCCCAUGGCAGGAGAAAAAAGUCAAUUUUUUCUUGUCCCCUAAGGUGAAAAUACACAUUGUAGAGUGUCACGCCUGUACGCUUUGGCAAAAUGACACAAAAAUUGACACACACAUGUAUCUCAAUAAGAUCUACAAAAAAGUCCAUGCGCGCGUAUCUGUCAAAUGUACGGUUAAAGGGUUAUUCCCCUUUUUUGCCGAUACGCACACAUUGGAAUUUCGCUAACUCCUCCGAAGGCUUUCGUUCCACCGGCACCACAUUUGCUCAGGCCAAUCUACACCCCAUGGCCAUUAAAAGUUAUUCAAAUCAUGAUGCUGCACCCCAUGGUUUAGGUUCUAGGGGGCGCCAAAAAUAACCCAAAAAUCCACAUUCUUAAAUGUUUUAUAACUUUUUUUUUUUUGUCCUCACUGGCCUCCAAGUUUUCUAGGAUGAUGCAAUGUCCAGCCAUCAACACAUUUGUGAAGGAAUUUUUACUCCCCAAAAGAGCGCCCCC